rnacentral:rRNA from 1 species
UACAGAGGUCCCGAGCGUUGUUCGGAUUCACUGGGCGUAAAGGGUGCGUAGGUGGCUUGACAAGUUUGAUGUGAAAUCUCCGGGCUUAACCCGGAAAAUGCAUUGAAUACUGUAGAGGCUUGAGGUUUGGAGGGGGGACUGGAAUUCUCGGUGUAGCAGUGAAAUGCGUAGAUAUCGAGAGGAACACCAGUGGCGAAGGCGGUUCUCUGGGACGGUACUGACGCUGAGACGCGAAAGCGUGGGGAGCGAACAGG